rnacentral:rRNA from 1 species
AGUGAACGCUGGCGGUAGGCCUAACACUUGCAAGUCGAACGGCGGCACAGUAAGAGCUUGCUCUUACGGGUGGCGAGUGGCGGACGGGUGAGGAAUACAUCGGAAUCUACUUUUUCGUGGGGGAUAACGUAGGGAAACUUACGCUAAUACCGCAUACGACCUACGGGUGAAAGCAGGGGAUCUUCGGACCUUGCGCGAUUGAAUGAGCCGAUGUCGGAUUAGCUAGUUGGCGGGGUAAAGGCCCACCAAGUCGACGAUCCGUAGCUGGUCUGAGAGGAUGGUCAGCCACACUGGAACUGAGACACGGUCCAGACUCCUACGGGAGGCAGCAGUGGGGAAUAUUGGACAAUGGGCGCAAACCUGAUCCAGCCAUACCGCGUGGGUGAAGAAGGCCUUCGGGUUGUAAAGCCCUUUUGUUGGGAAAGAAAAGCAGCAGGUUAAUACCCCGCUGUUCUGACGGUACCCAGAGAAUAAGCACCGGCUAACUUCGUG